rnacentral:rRNA from 1 species
UACGAAGGGGGCUAGCGUUGUUCGGAAUUACUGGGCGUAAAGCGCACGUAGGCGGAUUUGUAAGUCAGGGGUGAAAUCCCGGGGCUCAACCUCGGAACUGCCUUUGAUACUGCAAGUCUUGAGACCGGAAGAGGUGAGUGGAAUUCCUAGUGUAGAGGUGAAAUUCGUAGAUAUUAGGAAGAACACCAGUGGCGAAGGCGGCUCACUGGCCCGGUUCUGACGCUGAGGUGCGAAAGCGUGGGGAGCAAACAGG